rnacentral:rRNA from 1 species
AACCUUUACACUGCACGGAAGUGCGAUAGGGGAAUCCCAAGUGCGAGGGCAUAUUAGCCCUCGCUUUUGUUGACUGUAAGGUGGUCAACGAAUAAGAGCUGGGCAAGACCGGUGCCAGCCGCCGCGGUAAUACCGGCAGCUCGAGUGAUGUCCAAUAUUAUUGGGCCUAAAGCGUCCGUAGCUGGCCAGCCAAGUUCGUCGGGAAAUCCACCUGCCCAACAGGUGGGCGUCCGGCGAAAACUGUCUGGCUUGGAACCGGAAGGCUCAGAGGGUACGUCGAGGGUAGGAGUGAAAUCCCGUAAUCCUGGACGGACCACCGGUGGCGAAAGCGCCUCAGGAAGACGGAUCCGACGGUGAGGGACGAAAGCUCGGGUCACGAACCGGAUUAGAUACCCGGGUAGUCCGAGCUGUAAACGAUGUCUGCUAGGUGUGACACAGGCUACGAGCCUGUGUUGUGCCGUAGGGAAGCCGUGAAGCAGACCGCCUGGGAAGUACGUCCGCAAGGAUGAAACUUAA